rnacentral:rRNA from 1 species
GUCCACGCUGUAAACGAUGUGUGCUAGACGUUGGGGGGUUGCCUCCCGGUGUCGCAGCUAACGCGUUAAGCACACCGCCUGGGGAGUACGGCCGCAAGGUUAAAACUCAAAGGAAUUGACGGGGGCCCGCACAAGCGGUGGAGCAUGUGGUUCAAUUCGACGCAACGCGAAGAACCUUACCAGCUCUUGACAUGGGUAGUAUGGGCCUGGGCGACUGGGCUCUUCAGUUCGGCUGGCUACCACACAGGUGCUGCAUGGCUGUCGU